rnacentral:rRNA from 1 species
AUUGAACGCUGGCGGCAUGCUUUACACAUGCAAGUCGAACGGUAACAGGUUAAGCUGACGAGUGGCGAACGGGUGAGUAAUGCAUCGGAACGUGCCCGAUCGUGGGGGGUAACGCAGCGAAAGCUGCGCUAAUACCGCAUACGAUCUGAGGAUGAAAGCGGGGGACCGUAAGGCCUCGCGCGAUCGGAGCGGCCGAUGUCAGAUUAGGUAGUUGGUGGGGUAAAGGCCCACCAAGCCAACGAUCUGUAGCUGGUCUGAGAGGACGACCAGCCACACUGGGACUGAGACACGGCCCAGACUCCUACGGGAGGCAGCAGUGGGGAAUUUUGGACAAUGGGCGCAAGCCUGAUCCAGCAAUGCCGCGUGCAGGAAGAAGGCCUUCGGGUUGUAAACUGCUUUUGUACGGAACGAAACGGUCUGGGUUAAUACCCUGGGCUAAUGACGGUACCGUAAGAAUAAGCACCGGCUAACUACGUGCCAGCCGCCGCAGUAAGAC